rnacentral:rRNA from 1 species
AUGAACGCUGGCGGCGUGCCUCAUACAUGCAAGUCGAGCGAACAGAUGAGGAGCUUGCUCCUCUGACGUUAGCGGCGGACGGGUGAGUAACACGUGGAUAACCUACCUAUAAGACUGGGAUAACUUCGGGAAACCGGAGCUAAUACCGGAUAAUAUAUUGAACCGCAUGGUUCAAUAGUGAAAGACGGUUUUGCUGUCACUUAUAGAUGGAUCCGCGCCGCAUUAGCUAGUUGGUAAGGUAACGGCUUACCAAGGCAACGAUGCGUAGCCGACCUGAGAGGGUGAUCAGCCACACUGGAACUGAGACACGGUCCAGACUCCUACGGGAGGCAGCAGUAGGGAAUCUUCCGCAAUGGGCGAAAGCCUGACGGAGCAACGCCGCGUGAGUGAUGAAGGUCUUCGGAUCGUAAAACUCUGUUAUUAGGGAAGAACAAAUGUGUAAGUAACUAUGCACGUCUUGACGGUACCUAAUCAGAAAGCCACGGCUAACUACG